GUGAGUUUAGAUGUCAUUUUAUCUUUAUUAUAUUGAUACCCAUUUAUAUCAUCAGUUUGAGUCAUUGAUAUUGAUUGUGUUGGGGUGGAGAAGCUUUGUAUCUCUUCAAGAAAUGAAUUCCAGGGACAUGAAUGCCCCUACCUUCCAGUAAAGAUGGAGUGCAAUCCCUCUCUUUGGACAUUGGCAAAUUGACAGCAGUGGGGGAGUUUGAUGACUCUGUGCUAGUUAUAUGGAAUUCUUCAAGGUUGCACACAAAUCAAACAUGAUGUGGGUGGUGACCUAUGCUCAAGUUGCUGGCUGUUCUUUUUCAACAAUCGUAAGUUACAUAUUUGAAAAUCAAAGAGUUGACAAGAGUGGAUGCCUUUCCACUAUAGUUGGAGAACCUUUCAUUUAUUUGAUGAUGUCUUUAAACAGAUGCAACUUGCAAGAAGCUGAGAUUUCUAUCAACAAGGUGAAGGAUGUGGUACCUUACUAACUAACAGAUGCUGGAAAUACUUCAUUUCCCAAUUAGAGUUCUUGUACUUCAGCAUAGAUAAUUUAAGGUUGUAAAUAUCAAGAUAAAAUUUUGAGUUUUGAUCCCUAAUCUAAGCUCUAAAGAAUCUAAUAUUGGUAUUUUUUUCCUUUCUCAAAUGUCCUUUUUUUUAAUAUUUCACUUUGAAAUAGAAUAGCUUAUGCACUUAUUUUUUAAUAGUUUCCUUAUAAUUUUUGUUUGCUCAUAUAGUGCAACAUAUUUUGCUGCAUAGCAUACUUAGAUCUUCAAAUUUCCUCCCUACAACAGAAAUCAAGUAUUUUCAUUUGAAAAAUCAAUUCAUAACUUCUUGAGAUUGUGUGUGUGUGUGUUUAUUUUCGGCUACCAACAAUGUAUUGAUUGGGGCUCUUUAGUUUCUAUCAUAUUGUCUUCAUUUGUUAAGUUUUGACUUAUCAAUUUUGGAUUAAUUAGGGCUCUUUAGUUAUUCAAAUUUCAGACUUCACCCAAGUUUGCUGGUGUUCUCCAUUUAUAUGAAGUUAGUUUUGAACUUGAGAAAUAAUCACUGAAAAAUUAUUUAUUCUAUUUUAAUUAGACUUGUAGAUGAACUUUCUGGUUUAGUGUACAGUACAAUAUAGGGAAGUACGACUUGAAAUUCAAAACAAAUUGAAUGAGAGGGUUAGCUUAUUUUUUCUUUUGAGAUCAAAUUAUAAUGUUCAGUACGUUGUAUUACUUAUGAUUGAAUUGCUUCAAGAUUUCCGUGAUUCUCAACCUACAAUAAUUUUAUUGUCAUGAGUUUUCCUUCUUUUUAUUUUUUCCUCAAAAAUUUCUGGUUGCAGGUCAAUUGGAACCGUAACUUGUAUGUAUUUGCAAUUGUUGAUUGGGUAUAUUCAGUAUCACCAUCGACAAUACAUCAAUUGCCGUAGCAGUGACUUCAAAACUUUCAAGAUUCUGAGAUUUGUGCAAAAAAUUGAAGAGCCCAAUAAGGAAGAACAACUUGAAACUCUAAUUUGAUGCAUUUUUUCCUAAGAUCAAGUUAUGGAUUUUGGAUUCUAUGGUCAGUCCACAAUCCUUGGAUGCUGAAGGAAUCCAUGGUGUGAUCUCAUAGUUCCUACAAGUUGGCACCGGGUUGUUGACAACCAACAAUAUAAUUCUUCUCUUUUCAUCAGCCUUGUUGUCCUAACUUAAGAGGCCAACUUGUUUGGGUCCCCCAGUUCAUACAAAUAUUCAGAGGAUAUUUCCAUAAAGUUAGUAGAUAGGGGGAAAAGAGCGAGAUGCACAACAGUGGUUGAACUAGAAGGCAUUCUUACAUUGUUUGACUCUCCUGAGUAGCUCCAUAUAUGCAUGACCAUGCUGGCUUCUUUGAACUGAACUUCUGAUAAAUGGGUUCUACUCAGUGUUACACAGGCCAUCAAAAAAUAUAGCCACCCCAAACAUGUUCUGCUGUCUCACUUUCAGCUUUGACAUCAUCAACCAUCGUUGAAAUUUGCUCUGAACUAGAGCUUGUCCUUAGCAAGAAAGAACUGGAGUUCUCAAGAUUACAUGCCAAGUAUAUGGAUCAUGAUCAAAAGCUUUUACAGUGUUUCUCCCUUUUAUUAAUAUUGAGAAAUUUGUCCUGAGAUGACUUAGUUUUCAUAGUAGGUCAUUGUAUAUAAAUAACGUUUAUCAGGAAUACUUUGUUUUGUACUUGUAAAUUGUAAUCAUUUUCAAGUUGUUAUUCAUUUUCAAAUUGUGUUUCCUGUUAGACUAUAAAAGGGCCAAUUUACUCUUUGGCCACCAUGAUUAGACUAAUAAAAGGGUUACAGAUGGAUUUGCAGUUCA